GAUGAACGCUGGCGGUAUGCCUAACACAUGCAAGUCGUACGAGAGUUUUUAACUCUAGUGGCGGACGGGUGAGUAACACGUGAGAAUUUGCCUUUAGGAGGGGGACAACAAUUGGAAACGAAUGCUAAUACCCCAUAUGCUUUCGAGUGAAAUGGAUUUUAUCCGCCUAGAGAGAAGCUCGCGGCUGAUUAGCUUGUUGGUAAGGUAAGAGCUUACCAAGGCGACGAUCAGUAUCUGGUUUGAGAGGACGAUCAGACACACUGGAACUGAGACACGGUCCAGACUCCUACGGGAGGCAGCAGUGGGGAAUUUUCCGCAAUGGGCGAAAGCCUGACGGAGCAAUACCGCGUGAGGGAAGAAUGCCUAUGGGUUGUAAACCUACUUUUUUCUAGGGAGGAAUAAAAUAGACGUGUACCUGAAGAAUAAGCAUCGGCUAACUCCGUG
rnacentral:rRNA from 1 species